GGGAAAGGGAGGAGUUAAAGGGUCCAUUGUUAAAAUUUGCAGACCAAAGAUCAGGGCAAUAAAAACACACCAUUCUGCCGAAGUUAAUGGCCCAUUAACAACAGCUGGCAGACCCAACACACUGAAAUUAUUCCUGGUCCUGGCGUUCCACCAGCAAUACUGCCUCGGAAGAAAAUAGAUCUGACCUUGUUGAAGUGGCCUUCUUCCUGUGUGGGGACCAUGGCAACUGGCCUCAUUGCCCCUGCCCCCAUAUAAAGUGGCAUGAAGCUUUGACAGAAGGAAAGAUUGAAAAGCUGGAAGUUUUCACAAUAGCUCCUUGCUGAAGCAGUAGGAGGAAACAGCUCAUCUGGUAACUAAGCAUGGCUAUUUAUUUGUUUUUACUAUUUGGGGGCAUUUUAAAGAAUGGUUGCGAUUUCUUUGGAAUUUUUAAAAAAGAUCAGUCAAUUUCCAUUGAAGGAUCUAUGGGAGCAGUAGUGGCCUGUUGUUGUUGUUGCUGCUGUUGUUUUGAUACCAUCGAUUUACAACCAAACCCCUCAGCUUGCCAUCUCAACAACUCUGCCAUUUCGGCAGUGAAUGCACACGGCAAUGAAAUCAACCCCCACUAAUGUGUUGAUAUCAAAUUGAUUUGGGGCUAAACUUUAGCUGUGCUGUUCUGUUGCAGGAAAGGACAUUUGUGCUGGGCUUGUGUGUAUGUGUGUGUUUAAAAAAGCAAUGUGACAUCUGCCCAAACUGAUAGCAUACACUGACAUGUUCAUCGCCUAUUUCAAUUCACCUGACGACAAUUAAGUGACAUUAAAGAACAAGCCCUCCUCAGAUUCUAAUUUUUCCUGACGCUGUGUUCAAUAUUGUAAUAGAUGGUGCCAAUAGAAGUUUGCCUCACACAGCUUCUUCCCUUUCCUUUCUAUAAUCUUCUUUAAUAAUUGCCGCUGGAGCCAUUCCCCUCCUUGAAUGAAGGACAGGACAGAAAACAACACAGAAAAGUGAGAAGCAUAAUCUUUCUGGCUACCAUUGCAAAUAGGUGCAAGACCCAGAAUUACUGAUACAGCUACUUAAGAUGGUGGUACUGAAAUAUAUAGCCAAAUCCUUGCCUGUACAGUGUUUCUUCCUGAUGUCAGGAGAAGGCUGUGUCAAGGAGAGGUGUCCCAAACCUCUUCAAGAUUAAUCUGAACACUUCAGCCAGUGUCGCUUGUGUCCAUCCUGUUAAUUUUCAAUCCCGUUUUGUAGCUAGUGAAGCUACUCUGAAUAUUGACAGUUGCCUCCGGGGGACUAGCAGUAUGCUCUCUUAGCAAGAAAGCAAGCGCAGCAGGGUUUCUGAAAUAUUUGCCAGUGCCACUGUAAAAAUGCAGAAGGCAGCGACCUGUAUAACUACAUAUGAGGCAGUUAUCCAAGGUUUCUAUACAAGGGAAUUCGUUUUUCUCUCUCUCCAACCCCCACCCUUCCCCCAAAGAAAGGUUGUUUGCAAUUCAAAUGUCAAAGACGCCAUAGCAGAAGAGUCCUGGCCACAGAGCAUUUAAACUACUCUGCACUUAUUUCUCCCCAAUGAAAUUAAUGUUAUUUUUCAUUUAUGUACAGAGGUUGGUAACAGCAACAAAACGAUUCUGAUUUCACAAUUCUAGCAGUCACACCAAACUGCUAUGCUUUAGCAGGCAUGAAAAUACCUGGGUAGAUGUUCAUAUGACCCCCUGCUUAAAAGUGCUAAUUAAUUUCGCUGCUAGAUGUGGUUCUGACUCGGGAGGCCACCAUAGUCAGAGGGGAAUUGUGUUGUCAGAAGCAUCUCUCUCUUCAUCUCUCUCCCUGGAUGUGCCUUUAGAACAACAAUGGGGAACUUAUCACCUUUCAGAGGUUGGAUAACAACUCUCAUUAUCCUUAGUGGUCAUUGAUGGUGGUCCAACAACAUGGCUACGUGUUCCCCAUUUACAAAGUUCAUGAAGCUCUCUAAACUACGCCUCCUCCAUCUGCAUUCAAAGGUUACCAGAGCCACAUUGUAUGAAGUUUAGUUUAUGAAAUUAGUUUUUUUUAAAAAAAAACAAAUUCAACCCUAUCUUUUCUCUCACCAGGACACCCAAGUGGAAUCAAGAGAAACAUCAAUUGGUUAAAAGUAAGGGCAAAAGCUAAGCAUUUAAUGGGAAUUUUUUACUUAUACAGUGGUACCUCGGUUCUUGAAUGUAAUUCAUUCCGGAAGACAGUUCGGCUUCCGAAACAUUCAAAAACCAAGGCGCAGCUUCCCAUUAGUUGCAAGAGCUUCUUGCACUCAGCGGUAGCCACAUAACACGUUCAAGUUUCGAAAAACAUUUGAAAAUGGAAGCAUUUACUUCUGGGUUUUCAGCGUUCGAAAACCAAAAUGUUCGACAACGGAGGCGAUCAGGAAUCGAGGUACCACUGUAUAUGCAUUUACGGUAUAUAUUGUUUAGAUGAAGAACUGCAUUGUAAAAUGCAAAAACAGUGCAAAUAUCAAAAGAUGGCUGUUUCAUUUUGCAUACUGUUUCAGAAAGUGCAGAUUUGAUAGGUCCCAACUGAAUCUAAGUUCUCCCCCAACCUUAACUGUAGGUGAAUAUUUAAGAAUGCAUAUUAAAACCAUCAGGAAUCCCUGUUAAGAUCUUGCAAAUUCUGAGUAGAAAAGCAUAUGAAUUCCUAUGUCAAAGAAAAGCAUACUUUCUCAAAGACAGUAAAACUGUCUAAUAUGCAGAAAAUGUAAUGUUUGUAUGCACUGAAGUUAAGACUUAUGUAAAAGUUUGCAUUUGCAUAAUAGAGAAAUUUACAUGACGCAAAAGGUUGCAGUCUAGAUGAAAGCAGAAGACUGAUGUUGUUCCAUUUCACAGGGUUAGGCUACCUGAUGACUCAUAGACAGAAACCUGAGCUGCAGCUCUCUCACAGCUGGAGAGGAAAUUUAAGAAGUCAGUGAUGGCUAGCUAUAGCAGCUGCAGCUGCAGCUAAGCUCCACAGUGAUGAAAAAACCUAG
rnacentral:lncRNA from 1 species